GGUUUCCGUAGGUGAACCUGCGGAAGGAUCAUUACCUAGAGUUUGUAGACUUCGGUCUGCUACCUCUUACCCAUGUCUUUUGAGUACCUUCGUUUCCUCGGCGGGUCCGCCCGCCGAUUGGACAACAUUCANACCCUUUGCGGUUGCAAUCAGCGUCUGAAAAAACAUAAUAGUUACAACUUUCAACAACGGAUCUCUUGGUUCUGGCAUCGAUGAAGAACGCAGCGAAAUGCGAUAAGUAGUGUGAAUUGCAGAAUUCAGUGAAUCAUCGAAUCUUUGAACGCACAUUGCGCCCCUUGGUAUUCCAUGGGGCAUGCCUGUUCGAGCGUCAUUUGUACCUUCAAGCUCUGCUUGGUGUUGGGUGUUUGUCUCGCCUCUGCGUGUAGACUCGCCUUAAAACAAUUGGCAGCCGGCGUAUUGAUUUCGGAGCGCAGUACAUCUCGCGCUUUGCACUCAUAACGACGACGUCCAAAAGUACAUUUUUACACUCUUGACCUCGGAUCAGGUAGGGAUACCCGCUGAACUUAAGCAUAUCA
rnacentral:rRNA from 1 species